AUUGAACGCUGGCGGCAGGCUUAACACAUGCAAGUCGAGCGGAGAUGAGGUGCUUGCACCUUAUCUUAGCGGCGGACGGGUGAGUAAUGCUUAGGAAUCGGCCUAUUAGUGGGGGACAACAUUUCGAAAGGAAUGCUAAUACCGCAUACGUCCUACGGGAGAAAGCAGGGGAUCUUCGGACCUUGCGCUAAUAGAUGAGCCUAAGUCGGAUUAGCUAGUUGGUGGGGUAAAGGCCUACCAAGGCGACGAUCUGUAGCGGGUCUGAGAGGAUGAUCCGCCACACUGGGACUGAGACACGGCCCAGACUCCUACGGGAGGCAGCAGUGGGGAAUAUUGGACAAUGGGGGGAACCCUGAUCCAGCCAUGCCGGGUGUGUGAAGAAGGCCUUAUGGUUGUAAAGCACUUUAAGCGAGGAGGAGGCUACUGAGACUAAUACUCUUGGAUAGCGGACGUUACUCGCAGAAUAAGCACCGGCUAACUCUGUGCCAGCCGCCGCCGUAA
rnacentral:rRNA from 1 species